UUCUAGACUUGGGAAUAGCGCCGAAGCCCUUGGCUGUGCCCUCCGUCCUACCGGGCGCUCCUGCCUGCGGCUCUCGCAGUCCUGCUGGCCCUCCAUUCUCCUCUCCGGACCCCCUCCCCCUGGCCCCUGGGAGUGCCGCCUUCCCCAGCUGCAGCCUCGGCUCGUGGUUCGCUCUGAGACACCGUUUCUGCAGCCUCUCUGAGCCUCGGCCAUCGGCCCUGGCGACUCACCGGAGUGAUUCCCUGGGUCUAAGAAGGAACUCCACAUCCGCCCCCAAGCCCGGUCUCUUCCCGAGUGCCCUGCUUUGGUGGCUAAGUCAGUCACCCCAUGCCUGCUCUCCCUACCCCCGUCCACAUCUCACUUGGCCCCACACCUCAUCGGGUGACCUUCAGAGGCUUCUGGGCCCCAGGGACGGUCAGGCACUCAGCUGCACCACUGGUCUGUUCCGCGGCACCAGCAUCUGGGCUCUGCUUACCCUUAGUCUCUGCAGCCAGAGCACGGCCAUUUUUGAAAGGCACAUUUCUCCUCCCGGAGCUCCAGGCUGGGUGGGGAGCCAGCACCUAAGCCCCCUCCCCCCUGCACCCCUCUGCCUCUACUGGCUCAAAGGCCCCCUUCCUCUGCCCCUUCUCUUCCAGCCGCUUCCAGCUCUCCUUUGGACCCAUAUGCCUCAAGGCCUUGGUUGUCCGUCGCUUCCAGGGUCGGGACCACUUGGGUAUAUCCAGACCCUGCCCCAGCACUGCCUCUCUGAGCAGCUAAGAGCCCAGAGUGGCCCCACAUCACCCACUCAUCUCUGGAGCACAGGCCAGUGGCUGUGUGACCCUUCACGGACUACUGGAUGGCCCUUACACUGCCCCCGUCACCAGGAUGGUACACACCUGCCUUGCACGGGCUCUGAGGUGGCCCUGGCACAGCCCGGGCGAAUGGAUGGCCCUGCCUGCACCAGGCUGACUGUCUCCCUCCUGUGUCUACCUCCCGGCUUCCAUGCCCAGGGGGCCACUCUUACUGUCUAGGAGUAAGUGUGUGAGCAGAGCAGGCCGGUGAGGUGGCCGCUGGACCACUCCAGUGACCGCAGGCAGUGCAGGCUGGGAGUGUCCCAGCGGACCCUGGGCCAGACGGGUCUGAGACAGGGACCUGCGGGGCCCCCAGGCCUGGGACUGGAGCUCACCUUGACCUCAUCUGUAAUCAUCAUGGCGUCCCGGGACAUGACCGUCAUGUCUGACAGUUCCGAGCAAUAGUCACCCACGAGAUUCUGUAGCUUGUCCAGCCCCGUGGGGUAGCCUGCGAGUUUCUGCAUCGAAAGGGGUGAGAGCAGGUGGGCACAGAAACUGACGGCCCAGGGGCUCCACCGGAUGCUGCCCCUCAUGCCUUACCCCUACGGUGCGGGCCCUGAGGACACUGGAGGGUCCGCCUGUGGCCCUAGCCCCCACCAGGCACAGAGCAGGGGGAGGCAUUGUUUCAGGAGGGCAGACAGCAUUUUCCUGGCGGGCCCUCCCACUGCCCAGGAGCAGACCCGCAGAUGUACCGCCAAGGAGGGUGUCAUGGGACCGUUGAACUGUGUGAGUGGUGACUGUGCCCCACCCGGGGAGCCUGCUGCUGGGGAGUGGCUGCUGUCUGAAGUGUAGCAGAGAGGCUCCAAACACGGACGUGGGGUCAGAGACUAGGGCUCAAGGCCGAGGCUGCCCUGACCAGCGGGCUAGGGGAACUUGGGAAAGCCACUUAACUUCUGAGCGUGCCCCGUGUUACGCUGGCUCUUUCACGAGGCUGCUGUCAGAAUCUAUAGGUAAUGAGGCAUUAAGCUCAGCGCCAGGCCGAUAAACAUCUAAUACAUCUUGACCCUUACUCGUUUGUUGUUAAUAACAACAAUGUAGAAUUUUGUUAGUUUUUAAAAAAAUAUAGAUGGCCCUGGGGGUUAUUUUUUAAAAAUACAUAUGGUCUGAAAAGAACAUGCCCCUGGGGGACAUAAUUGCUCAAAGGAAGGAGGGCUGGACCCCAGGAAAUAGCCGGAGUGGGGUGUUGGGCCCAGGAAGAUGAGGUGGACAGGGCCUUGGCUGAGGCAAGAGGGACAGGCCAGAGGACCAUGACACCUGCCUGUGCAGCUCUGGGCGGAGCCUGGGGGCCUGUGACUGCAGCCAGGAAGAGCGGCAGCGUCUGCCCACCCCGCCACAUCUCCACCUGUCACCUGGCCGGCUGCACUGCCCUCCAGGGCCCCCCCGUCCCAGCCUCGGGUGAGGGAGUGCGGACAACCCCCUCACUUCCCUGUCCCCUCCCCCUCGCAGCCCUAGGGCCCCCGCCGUCCAGCCCGCCCCUCUUCUGGUCCUCUUCCUUCCCACGAAGAGGCCUUCGGGGCCCCUGGGGGCCUCCUCCAGGCCUCCCCUGCUGGGGGCCGGGCGGGUGGCUCAGAAGAGCUGGGCAGCAAGCUCCAGGGUCCUGGCCUGCUCAGAGGUGACCUGUCCUCUAUGAUGAGGGACUUUCUGGAGGCUCAGGUGCCAUCUUUUGCCCUCAGAGGCUGUGCAGCGAUAAAGGAUGCGGCAAGGUUCACAGUGCCCCUGCUCAGCUGGGGACCAAAACAGGGCUCUGUCCCUGGGGAAAACCAGCAUGGAGGAGAGUUGCAGCCUCUGCCCCGUUGGUGGGAAUGGGAGCCAUGGCCCUGCCCGGGAGGCUCUGGUUCCCACUGAGACCCUAGCCCUGCUUGUAGGCUGGGGCCUGACGCUCCCGCCUGCCUGGCCAGGUGGCUUCCCUGGGCUGGGGUGUCGGGUGAGGACGCUCACUUUCUUCAGAUAAUCCAACAGGUCCACGUAUAGCAGGUAAAUGUUCUGACUGGUGGUGAUCUUGACCAUGGUCUUUUCAAUGUUAUUCUCCAGCUGGCGGAUGACCUGGGGGUAGCCCGAGGGCACCCAGUGCUUAGGGACAGACCCCUUGGACGCCCACCAGGAGGUGACCCGGCAGGCUGCACUUUCUUCCAGGGAGGGUCUGUGUCUAUGGCUUUCUCCUAGCCCCGCCCCUCAACAGAGUCCCAUCCCUCACUCCCGGGGCCCCGCCUCCCGGAGAAGCUUCGCCCCGCCCGCCGAGGCCCCGCCCGCCCGCCACCUGCUGCAGGCGCCGCUCCUCCUUGGAGGCGUCGGGCUGGCUCUGCAAACCGGCCAGCUCCUGCUGCAGGCUCUCCAGCUUCUCACCCCGCCGCCGCACCAGGUGGAUCAGCGCGUUGUGCGCGUUCACGCGGUCGUAGACGUACUUGCGCAGCUUCUCCCGCGCCAUCUGGGUCGGGGAGGGCACGGCCCGCUUGUGGGUGCGCAGGGAGCCGCGGGGACUCCCAAGGCUGGCGGGGAGGGAUUGGGAUCUCGCUCUGCCCCCCACCCGCUCCAACGUUGUUUGCACUGGCUGGGCGAGGCUGAGGGGUCCCUCCUGUGCCACCUUACCUCCAUGGAGCAGCCGCAGUGCGCCAACCUCAUGGACGUGUCCUUCCCGCAGGCCUUGGAGAUGAUCCGCUGGUCGUACUGCGGAGCGGUGGCGGCUGAGCUGAGGCCCCGGUCUCUCUGCGUACGCCCAGCCGCCAGUCCCUCCAGGCAUUGUCCCCGGGCCUCUCUACCCUGUGUUAGCCCAACAGCGAGGGCCCGUCCAGGCCAUUCCAGCUCAGAAGUGAUGGGAGUCGGAAGAAGGCCCAGGUCUCCCUGCACGGCCAGAGAGCCAGAGAGGCCCCUGCCGCAGGGGGAGCCCAGAGAAAGGAUCCCAGUCAGGCCCACUCUGCCAUCUGGGGUGGGCGGUGGGGAACCUGCCCAUCAGGCUUGCUGGAGUGACUGGAGCCAGGGGAACAGGUUGGGGAGCCCCUUCCCAAGAUGCCCCUGGUUCCUGAAAGGUAAGAUCGGGCAAAGGCAAAGGCGGAUGUCCUUUCGGCCCACCUGUGCGUGGGCCUGUUUCAGCAGCCGCAGUCAGUCUGCCCCCAGCCGCAGUCAGCAGGGAGCGGGGAGCAGGGCCCCUCACCUUCUUGGCCAAAGCCCAGUCCUGGGCCCCUUGGCGGAUGUUGCGGCGGAGGAGAGCCAGCGUGGCUCUGUUCUUGACCGUCUUCUCCUUCACCGCCUGGAUCUGCAGUGCCCGGCAUUGCUCUGGGGGUGGAGGGGUGGGCACGAAGGUGCUGCCGCCACAGCUGUGCUCCUUCCUGCCCUAGCCUGGGGGCACGGGCUUCCCUGCCCUGCAGUGCUCAUCUGGAUGGCUCAGCGAUGGCCGUGCUGGACAGUGGGGAAGGCCACCCCAAGCUCGGAUUCCACACCCAGGGUGACCUGGCUCACGAGACCCCUGCCUCAGCCCUGACUACCCCAGCUCUCCGUGACCUUCACCUGCUGCCUGGAGCCCGCCCUGCUCCGCCUCCACUUUCCUGGGGCGAUUCCUGGGUCUGGUUUAGAAGCCGCCUCCCCCCGCGGGGGUGUGCGCAGCCCAGGCUGCCCUAGGGUUAUGGCCUGAACACCUGACAGCCGGGAUUCGAGGUCGCACACGGGACAGGCUGCUCUCCCGGCCGCGCGGCGUGGAUUAGCCGGGGCUGCGGCAGCCGAGUGCCCCCACCAGGAGGCGUGUUCGCAGAGCUGGCUCCUCCUGAGCUUACAGAUGGCCACCUCACUGUGUCCCCACAUGGCCACCCCUGUGUGCGUGUCUGUGUCCUCCUCUCCUAACAGGGACAUGGGCCUGAGGGGAUCAGGGCCCAGCUCGUUUUAACACAAUCAUUUCUUUAAAGCCUUAUCUCCAAAUGCAGUCAUAUUCUGAGGUCCCGGGUGUGAGAGGUGCAACAUGUAAAUUUGGGGACACCACUCAUAACAAUGGCCUUCACCCAGAUGCUGUCACAUGUAGGACCUCCACAACCUUACACACACCGUUUUGGCUUUUGGUCAUUGCCAGUUUUUAAAAGGUGAGUCCAGGGGCACCUGGGUGGCCCAGUCAGUUGAGUGUCUGACUUCAGUUCAGGUCACCAUCGUGGUCCAUGAGUU